rnacentral:rRNA from 1 species
UGGGGAAUCUUGGACAAUGGGGGCAACCCUGAUCCAGCCAUGCCGCGUGAGUGAUGAAGGCCUUAGGGUCGUAAAGCUCUUUCGCCUGUGAAGAUAAUGACGGUAGCAGGUAAAGAAACCCCGGCUAACUCCGUGCCAGCAGCCGCGGUAAUACGGAGGGGGUUAGCGUUGUUCGGAAUUACUGGGCGUAAAGCGCACGUAGGCGGACCAGAAAGUUGGGGGUGAAAUCCCGGGGGCUCAACCCCGGAACUGCCUCCAAAACUAUUGGUCUAGAGUUCGAGAGAGGUGAGUGGAAUUCCAAGUGUAGAGGUGAAAUUCGUAGAUAUUUGGAGGAACACCAGUGGCGAAGGCGGCUCACUGGCUCGAUACUGACGCUGAGGUGCGAAAGUGUGGGGAGCAAACAGGAUUAGAUACCCUGGUAGUCCACACCGUAAAACGAUGAAUGCCAGUUGUCGGGUAGCAUGCUAUUCGGUGACACACC